GAUGAACGCUGGCGGCGUGCUUAACACAUGCAAGUCGAACGGUGAAGGCGGAGCUUGCUCUGCUGGAUCAAUGGCGAACGGGUGAGUAACACGUGAGCAAUCUGCCCCUGACUCUGGGAUAAGCGCUGGAAACGGCGUCUAAUACUGGAUACGAGCUGCGAAGGCAUCUUCAGCAGCUGGAAAGAACUUCGGUCAGGGAUGAGCUCGCGGCCUAUCAGCUUGUUGGUGAGGUAACGGCUCACCAAGGCGUCGACGGGUAGCCGGCCUGAGAGGGUGACCGGCCACACUGGGACUGAGACACGGCCCAGACUCCUACGGGAGGCAGCAGUGGGGAAUAUUGCACAAUGGGCGAAAGCCUGAUGCAGCAACGCCGCGUGAGGGACGACGGCCUUCGGGUUGUAAACCUCUUUUAGCAGGGAAGAAGCGAAAGUGACGGUACCUGCAGAAAAAGCGCCGGCUAACUACGUG
rnacentral:rRNA from 1 species